UGUUCCUGGGAAGCUGGCUCUCUGGCCCAGUGGCUGGGUGGUAAGCCCAGGCUCCGUCCAGCUGGGCCUCAGGAAGAGGGCACUAACAGCCUGCCCAGGGACCAGGCUGGAACAUCCCAUGAGGAGGAGAGGUGGGGGCAGGCAGCAAGGAAGACAUGGGGACUGGCAGCAUGGGGCUUGGACACGCUACAAUACAAAAGCUUUGAGAGUCCCAGAGCCAAAGACUCGGGGACACACACAGGCUGGACAUAAGCCAUGGCCCUUGGUAGGGACCAGCCGCCAGCACAGUUGGCUGCGACAGGCAGACAGACAUGCACAGAAUAUGCCAGGCCCUGGAGGGGAGAUAUUAGGACCCAACACCAGCGCACACUCACACACACACACACACACACACACACACACACACAGCCCACACAAGCCUGACAGGCGCCCAGGGGAACUGGGAAAGAACAGCAUGGGCCACAAGGCAGGUCAACCAGAGCAGUGAGAUGACACACACACAACGAUGCACACAAUUAGACUGGAGAGGAAACAUCAUUCGGGAGACCCAGGCAUGCCAAGGUGUACACAUGAAGUGGGACAAAUUGAAAUAGAAAAAGCAGGGAAUUGCUUCAGAGACAGGCGCCCUGAGACUCAGAUGCACGAUGCACCUGCUGGCCUUGCCUAGACAAUGGGAAACGCCACACCCUGCCUGGGGCACAUCGGGGUGCCCCUCCCAGGCGCAGCCACAGCAGUGCUCACAUGCACACACACACAGGGUCACACACCUGACAACACGUGCUCACACAGACAGGCACGGGAGGAAGAGGAGACUGAAAUAGCUGGAGAGGUAAAGUCAGGUUAAAAAUAGAGGGGCGAGAGGAGAGCGCGAGAUUGACUGCUGAAGGUAUGAGAUCGGAGUUAUUUUGGCCACACCACAGCAUCAGCACAGCUGCAAAGCAGCCUGGGAGAAGAUGGUCAGCGCCCCUGAAGCUACCGGAGGUCACAGGACAGAGAGAGACAGAGAGACGAGUGCACAGAGAGGCAGAGGGAGAGGCGCAGGGGCCUGCCGCUGGCCCAGGGACAUCCCUGUGAGGAGCAGAUGGAGGAAGGAGGGGAGAGAGAGGCCAAGAAAGGAAAAAAUGUGCUGACCCCUGCUGUGAGGGACUACAAGUGGAGCGGCCAGGAUGUGGGGUGAGUUCUGGAGGUGGCCAGCAGGCAAGGGGCGUGAAAGCUGCAGUGGGCAGAAGCCACGUGGACGCAGGAUCCUGGCAUGUGAGCACUGUUCAUCAAAUCCUGCCGGACCAGUGGGGCGGUGGGAAGAGUUGGUACACGGGGGUUUGCCUGCAGCUGGUUCCCUUCUUUCCGGAGCCUGGGGACGGCCUCUGCCCUGGUCUGAUGGCUGGUAGAACAGGAGGCACGGUGAUGGCUGUGCAGAACGGCCCGAGGCUUAGUGUGCUGGUCUGUCUCCUGCUCCAAGAAAAGUGCUCCCAGAGAAGAUCCGGGCAAUGGGAAUAACCCCCAGAGCCUGAAAGGAAGGUCACGUUAGGCCAGAGGAGGCACUGUGAUUUCAGCGACGGAAGUCCGGGUCUGCCCUGGACACUGAGAGACAACGAAGGGUUAACGACGGAGGAAGAGCGGACUGUCCAGGCCAGGAGGCCCCAAGGCAGGGAGAAAGAGAAAGCCGUGUUAGUCAGAGUUCAUCACCACCACCACCGUCACCGCCAUCACCGCCACCGCCACCACGACCACCGACCACCGACCACCACCACCGAGCAGCCAGGGCAGCAGCACACAGCAGGGAGGAAAAAGCGAGCCACACCACGAGGGAGGGACCCAAACGGGCAACCCCAUCCUGACUGCACAGAAGGGAGGUGGGGGCCAGGGAUGCGCGGGUCGGGUGUGGCUGCGGAGGGGGCUCUCCUGCGUGGCUGGCCCUGGGGGAGGGGGCAGGAGAGGGCAGGCAGGCCAGGGGCAGGAGGGGUUGCUCGUCUCCAUGGUCAGCCUGCCCAUGGGGUGCAUGGGUGGGAAGUGGGGGGAGAGGAGCGGAAAAGUCGGGUGGAGGGGGAAGGAGGGCGUGCGCGGAUACUCGGUACAUAUGAUCAA